AUUGAACGCUGGCGGCAGGCCUAACACAUGCAAGUCGAGCGGAUGAAGGGAGCUUGCUCCUGGAUUCAGCGGCGGACGGGUGAGUAAUGCCUAGGAAUCUGCCUGGUAGUGGGGGAUAACGUCCGGAAACGGGCGCUAAUACCGCAUACGUCCUGAGGGAGAAAGUGGGGGAUCUUCGGACCUCACGCUAUCAGAUGAGCCUAGGUCGGAUUAGCUAGUUGGUGGGGUAAAGGCCUACCAAGGCGACGAUCCGUAACUGGUCUGAGAGGAUGAUCAGUCACACUGGAACUGAGACACGGUCCAGACUCCUACGGGAGGCAGCAGUGGGGAAUAUUGGACAAUGGGCGAAAGCCUGAUCCAGCCAUGCCGCGUGGGUGAAGAAGGUCUUCGGAUUGUAAAGCACUUUAAGUUGGGAGGAAGGGCAGUAAGUUAAUACCUUGCCGUUUUGACGUUACCAACAGAAUAAGCACCGGCUAACUUCGUG
rnacentral:rRNA from 1 species